rnacentral:rRNA from 1 species
GAAUAUUGGACAAUGGGGGGAACCCUGACCCAGCCAUGCCGCGUGUGUGAAGAAGGCCUUUUGGUUGUAAAGCACUUUAAGCGAGGAGGAGGCUACUCUAGUUAAUACCUAGAGAUAGUGGACGUUAAUCGCAGAAUGAGCACCGGCUACCUCUGUGCAAGCCGCCGCGGUAAUACAGAGGGUGCAAGCGUUAAUCGGAUUUACUGGGCGUAGAGCGCGCGUAGGUGGCCAAUUAAGUCAAAUGUGAAAUCCCCGAGCUUAACUUGGGAAUUGCAUUCGAUACUGGUUGGCUAGAGUAUGGGAGAGGAUGGUAGAAUUCCAGGUGUAGCGGUGAAAGGCGUAGAGAUCUGGAGGAAUACCGAUGGAGAAGGCAGCCAUCUGGCCUAAUACUGACACUGAGGUGCGAAAGCAUGGGGAGCAAAC